rnacentral:rRNA from 1 species
CAGUCGAACGAAGCACUUUAUUUGAUUUCUUCGGAAUGAAGAUUUUGUGACUGUUUGGCGGACGGGUGAGUAACGCGUGGGUAACCUGCCUCAUACAGGGGGAUAACAGCUGGAAACGACUGCUAAUACCGCAUAAGCGCACAGGGUCGCAUGACCUGGUGUGAAAAACUCCGGUGGUAUGAGAUGGACCCGCGUCUGAUUAGCCAGUUGGUGGGGUAACGGCCUACCAAAGCGACGAUCAGUAGCCGACCUGAGAGGGUGACCGGCCACAUUGGGACUGAGACACGGCCCAAACUCCUACGGGAGGCAGCAGUGGGGAAUAUUGCACAAUGGGGGAAACCCUGAUGCAGCGACGCCGCGUGAGCGAAGAAGUAUUUCGGUAUGUAAAGCUCUAUCAGCAGGGAAGAAGAAAUGACGGUACCUGACUAAGAAGCACCGGCUAAAUACGUGCCAGCAGCCGCGGUAAUACGUAUGGUGCAAGCGUUAUCCGGAUUUACUGGGUGUAAAGGGAGCGCAGGCGGUACGGCAAGUCUGAUGUGAAAGCCCGGGGCUCAACCCCGGUACUGCAUUGGAAACUGUCGGACUAGAGUGUCGGAGGGGUAAGUGGAAUUCCUAGUGUAGCGGUGAAAUGCGUAGAUAUUAGGAGGGACACCAGUGGCGAAGGCGGCUUACUGGACGAUUACUGACGCUGAGGCUCGAAAGCGUGGGGAGCAAACAGGAUUAGAUACCCUGGUAGUCCACGCCGUANACGAUGAAUACUAGGUGUCGGGGAG